CACUGAGUCACAGAACUGUCAGCACAUUAGCACAAAAUAAGCAGUAUACAGAAGGCCCACUUUGCUGUGCAACUUGGUAGACUUGAUGCUGUUUCCCACCCAAUUCUGGUCGUUUUGUUCAUUGUCACUAAUAACUGGCCUUAACAUAAAACGUAAACAAAUCGUCAACGAUAUAUCUCACUCUUCAUAUCAUGGAAAUUUCUCGUUGGAAUUUCGAAACUACAAGCCGAUAACACCAGUGGAUAACACUGAUAUAUAAUAUUCCGUGGUCUUUCCUUUUACAAUCUUGCCAUUACAAUCGGUCUUUAGAUGAGUAUAAGUUCGCACUAUGAAACGAGCAAGCUUGGGUUUUGGACCUAGGGUGCAAACGACUUCAAACAAUGAAAGCCAAUGAAACGAAUCAUCAUAAAAUAUUCACUAGAAAAAAACUUGACAGAAAUAUAUCAUUUCUUUUCAAUAGAAAUCCGCAAAUGUAUGGCCUGUUUGGUAUUUUAGUAUGUGUAGUGUAAUUAACUUAAAGUGUAACAGAUAAAAAUUACUUAUCGUUCCGAAAAAUUAUUAAAAUGUUAAAAGAAUCAACAGAAUUAAACGCCCACACUUAA